rnacentral:rRNA from 1 species
UAACAGAGGUUUGAUUAUGGCUCAUAGAUUGAACGCUGGCGGGAUGCUUCACACAUACUGCAGACGGCAGCACGGACUUGGUCUGGUGGUGAGUGGCGAACGGGUGAGUAAUGUAUCAGGAACGUGCCUAGUGGCGGAUAACUACGCGAAGCGUAGCUAAUACCGCAUACGCCCUUCGAGAAAAACAGGAUAACACCGGGCCUCGCACUAUUCGACAGCCGAUAUCAGCGGAUUGACCUAGUUGGCGGGCAGAGUAACGGCUCGCAGGCGACGAUCCGUAGCUGGUUUUGAGAGGACGACCAGCCACACUGGGACUGAGACACGGCCCAGACUCCACCACGGGGAGGCAGCAGUGGGGAAUUUUGGACAAUGAAGCCUGAUCCAAUAUCCCGCGUGUGCGAUGAAGGCCUUCGGGUUGUAAAGCACUUUUGGCAGGAAAGAAACAGCGCAGGGAUAAUACCCCGUGCAACUGACGGUACCUGCGGAAUAAGCACCGGCUAACUUGUUUGCCAGCAGCCGCGGUAAUACCGUAGGUGCAAGCGUUAAUCGGAAUUACUGGGCGUAAAGCGUGCGCAGGCGGUUCGGAAAGAAGAUGUGAAAUCCCAGAGCUUAACUUUGAACUGUUUUUAACUACCGAGCUAGAGUGUGUCAGAGGGAGGUGGAAUUCAGCGUGUAGCAGUGGAAAUCGCGUGAAUAUGCGGAGAACACCACGAUAGCGGCAACCUCCUGGGAUAACACCAGCGCUCAUGCCUGAAAGCGUAGAGCAAACAGGAUUAGAUACCCUGGUAGUCCACGCCUAAACGAUGUCAACUGGCUAUUUGGGGCUUCGGGCCUUGGUGGCCGCAACUAACGCGUGAAGUUGACCGCCUGGGGAAGUACGGUCGCAAGAUUAAAACUCAAGGUGUGGGGACCCGCACAAGCGGUGGAUGAUGUGGUUAAUUCGAUGCAACGCGAAAAAACCCCACUUACCUACCCUUGACAUGUCUGGAAUCCCGAAGAGAUUUGGGAGUGCUCGCAAGAGAACCCGUUCUGGGUGCUGCAUGAGCUGUCGUCAGCUCGUGUCGUGAGAUGUUGGGUUAAGUCCCGCAACAGGCGCAACCCUUGUCGUGGUUAUACGAAGGGCACUCCGGCAGACUGCAGUGACAAACCGGAGGAAGGUGGGGAUGACGUCAGAUCCUCAUGGCCCUUAUGGUAGGAGCUUCGUCGUACAAUGGUCGGGACGGGGGGUCGCCAACCCGCGAGGGCCAAUCCCAGAAACCCGAUCGUAGUCCCGGAUCGCGAUCUGCACCGAAAGCUCGACUGCGUGAAGUCGGAAUCGCUGGUAAUCAGCGGAUCAGCAUGUCGCGGUGAAUGAUUCCCAGGUCUUGUACACACCGCCCGUCACACCAUGGGAGUGGGUUUUACCAGAAGUAGUUAGCCUAACCGUAAGGAGGGCGAUUACCACGGUAGGAUUCAUGACUGGGGUGAAGUCGUAACAAGGUGA